AUACCGCGUGUGUGAAGAAGGCCUUCGGGUUGUAAAGCACUUUAAGCAGGGAGAAAAAGUUAUAAGUUAAUACCUUAUGACCCUGAUGUUACCUGCAGAAUAAGCACCGGCUAAUUCCGUGCCAGCAGCCGCGGUAAUACGGAAGGUGCAAGCGUUAAUCGGAAUUACUGGGCGUAAAGCGCGCGUAGGUGGUUUGUUAAGUUGGAUGUGAAAGCCCUGGGCUCAACCUAGGAACUGCAUCCAAAACUAACUCACUAGAGUACGAUAGAGGGAGGUAGAAUUCAUAGUGUAGCGGUGGAAUGCGUAGAUAUUAUGAAGAAUACCAGUGGCGAAGGCGGCCUCCUGGAUCUGUACUGACACUGAGGUGCGAAAGCGUGGGUAGCGAACAGGAUUAGAUACCCUGGUAGUCCACGCCGUAAACGAUGACAACUAGCUGUUGGGAGACUAUGUCUUUCAGUGGCGCAGCUAACGCUUUAAGUUGUCCGCCUGGGGAGUACGGCCGCAAGGCUAAAACUCAAAUGAAUUGACGGGGACCCGCACAAGCGGUGGAGCAUGUGGUUUAAUUCGAUGCAACGCGAAAAACCUUACCUACUCUUGACAUACUUGGAGGCUCUUGUAAUGAGAGCGUGCCUUUUGGAACCAAGAUACAGGUGCUGCAUGGCUGUCGUCAGCUCGUGUCGUGAGAUGUUCCGUUAAGUCGGAUAACGAGCGCAACCCUUACCCUUAUUUGCCAGCGAUUCGGUCGGGAACUAUAAGGGGACUGCCGGUGAUAAACCGGAGGAAGGUGAGGACGACGUCAAGUCAUCAUGGCCCUUACGAGUAGGGCUACACACGUGCUACAAUGGAGAAUACAGACGGACGCUAAGCCGCGAGGUGGUGCUAAUCCUAGAAAGUUCUUCGUAGUCCGGAUUGGAGUCUGCAACUCGACUCCAUGAAGUCGGAAU
rnacentral:rRNA from 1 species